rnacentral:rRNA from 1 species
UAGGGAAUCUUCGGCAAUGGACGAAAGUCUGACCGAGCAACGCCGCGUGAGUGAAGAAGGUUUUCGGAUCGUAAAACUCUGUUGUUAGAGAAGAACAAGGACGUUAGUAACUGAACGUCCCCUGACGGUAUCUAACCAGAAAGCCACGGCUAACUACGUGCCAGCAGCCGCGGUAAUACGUAGGUGGCAAGCGUUGUCCGGAUUUAUUGGGCGUAAAGCGAGCGCAGGCGGUUUCUUAAGUCUGAUGUGAAAGCCCCCGGCUCAACCGGGGAGGGUCAUUGGAAACUGGGAGACUUGAGUGCAGAAGAGGAGAGUGGAAUUCCAUGUGUAGCGGUGAAAUGCGUAGAUAUAUGGAGGAACACCAGUGGCGAAGGCGGCUCUCUGGACUGUAACUGACGCGGAGGCUCGAAAGCGUGGGGAGCAAACAGG